CUCCUCUUGUUUAUAUAUGAGGUCUGACCUGCCCGGUGAAAUGUUUCAUUUUUAACGGCCGCGGUAUUUUGACCGUGCAAAGGUAGCAUAAUCAUUAGUCUUUUAAUAGGAGGCUGGCAUGAAGGGUUUGACGAGGAGUUAACUGUCUCAUUUAAUUCGAAACUAAAAUUUAACUUUUCAGUUAAAAGGCUGAAAUUAUAUUGGAAGACGAGAAGACCCUAUAGAGCUUUAUAAUUAAAAUUUUAAUUGAUUUUUGUUCCAUUAUUGUCUUUGAUGAUUUUAAUUAUUUUGUUGGGGUGACAAAAAAAUAUAAUUAACUUUUUUAUUUAAUUAACAUUGAUUUAUGAAUUUUAGAUCCAAUUUUAUUGAUUGUUAGAUUAAGUUACC
rnacentral:rRNA from 2 species